AGAGUUUGAUCCUGGCUCAGGAUGAACGCUGGCGGCGUGCUUAACACAUGCAAGUCGAACGAAGCGAUUUGAAUGAAGUUUUCGGAUGGAUUUUAAAUUGACUGAGUGGCGGACGGGUGAGUAACGCGUGGGUAACCUGCCCCAUACAGGGGGAUAACAGUUAGAAAUGACUGCUAAUACCGCAUAAGACCACAGCACCGCAUGGUGCAGGGGUAAAAACUCCGGUGGUAUGGGAUGGACCCGCGUCUGAUUAGCUUGUUGGCGGGGUAACGGCCCACCAAGGCGACGAUCAGUAGCCGACCUGAGAGGGUGACCGGCCACAUUGGGACUGAGACACGGCCCAAACUCCUACGGGAGGCAGCAGUGGGGAAUAUUGCACAAUGGGGGAAACCUUGAUGCAGCGACGCCGCGUGAGUGAUGAAGUAUUUCGGUAUGUAAAGCUCUAUCAGCAGGGAAGAAAAUGACGGUACCUGACUAAGAAGCCCCGGCUAACUACGUGCCAGCAGCCGCGGU
rnacentral:rRNA from 1 species